UGAGGAGCCGCCGGCUCCAGGAUAAAACCUACCCGUGUUGCCAUCGGCAUCAAGCACGCAAGCCUGCUCGCGUCGCCACCUAUGGCACCUAUCUGGCUAUCUCCACGCUGCUCCGUAGCUGUUCGACUGGGUGCUGCUCCCUCAAAUCCCCCUGAUCUGUUUGGAUUUAUUGGCUUAUGCGUGCUGGUCGCUGAAUCUAAUAGGAAGCGGCAAUAAUCAGGUUCACUGCCUACGGAUGGUGUCUAGCAGUUCAUUCUUUCAUUGGUGUUAGGAUCUGAUGCGCACAUGUUCUUGGGGUGCCUCUUGCCGAAAUCAGUUUGGCAGCUGUUUGGGAUCUCUUAUUCUCAGAUUGUUUCCAUUGCAAGCAACUCAAAUUAUAAUGUAUUUGCCUGGUGGUGGAAAUCCCUAAAAAAGUGCCAGUCAUUAAAAUGCACAGAUUUCGGCCAGUUUGUGCAUUGAUUUGCAUAUGUGAAAGCCCAGAACCGACGUGUCUUGGAAGAGGAGCUCCUAUUCAGAUUUCCCACUUGGCGCAAGAUGAUCUACUGUGUCGGGAUUUAGGGGAUUAAUUGCCCUGUUGUUUUCUUUUCGUUUUUCUCUUUGUUCUCCCAGGCUGCUUAAGCCUUUGUAUAGUUUCCCUCAUCUAUAAAACAUCCCUGUAAAAGCAAUGUUCUGUGUAUUUCAAAGUAGUUUUCGUUCAUUUGGUUUAGUUGGUGUAAUUUAUUUUAUGUAUG